rnacentral:rRNA from 1 species
UGCGCUUACUUAGGCUAAACAUGCAAGUCGAGCGGAUGAGAGGAGCUUGCUCCUCGAUUCAGCGGCGGACGGGUGAGUAAUGCCUAGGAAUCUGCCUAGUAGUGGGGGACAACGUUUCGAAAGGAACGCUAAUACCGCAUACGUCCUACGGGAGAAAGUGGGGGAUCUUCGGACCUCACGCUAUUAGAUGAGCCUAGGUCGGAUUAGCUAGUUGGUAGGGUAAAGGCCUACCAAGGCGACGAUCCGUAACUGGUCUGAGAGGAUGAUCAGUCACACUGGAACUGAGACACGGUCCAGACUCCUACGGGAGGCAGCAGUGGGGAAUAUUGGACAAUGGGCGAAAGCCUGAUCCAGCCAUGCCGCGUGUGUGAAGAAGGCCCUCGGGUCGUAAAGCACUUUAAGUUGGGAGGAAGGGCUCAUAGCGAAUACCUGUGAGUUUUGACGUUACCAACAGAAUAAGCACCGGCUAACUUCGUGCCAGCAGCCGCGGUAAUACGAAGGGUGCAAGCGUUAAUCGGAAUUACUGGGCGUAAAGCGCGCGUAGGUGGCUUGAUAAGUUGGAUGUGAAAUCCCCGGGCUCAACCUGGGAACUGCAUCCAAAACUGUCUGGCUAGAGUGCGGUAGAGGGUAGUGGAAUUUCCAGUGUAGCGGUGAAAUGCGUAGAUAUUGGAAGGAACACCAGUGGCGAAGGCGACUACCUGGACUGACACUGACACUGAGGUGCGAAAGCGUGGGGAGCAAACAGGAUUAGA